rnacentral:rRNA from 1 species
ACUCCUACGGGAGGCAGCAGUGGGGAAUAUUGCACAAUGGGCGCAAGCCUGAUGCAGCCAUGCCGCGUGUAUGAAGAAGGCCUUCGGGUUGUAAAGUACUUUCAGCAGUGAGGAAGGUGGAUAUGUUAAUAGUCAUAUUCAUUGACGUUUAGCUGCAGAAGAAGCACCGGCUAACUCCGUGCCAGCAGCCGCGGUAAUACGGAGGGUGCGAGCGUUAAUCGGAAUUACUGGGCGUAAAGCGCAUGCAGGUGGUUUGUUAAGUCAGAUGUGAAAGCCCGGGGCUCAACCUCGGAAUUGCAUUUGAAACUGGCAAACUAGAGUACUGUAGAGGGGGGUAGAAUCUCAGGUGUAGCGGUGAAAUGCGUAGAGAUCUGAAGGAAUACCGGUGGCGAAGGCGGCCCCCUGGACAGAUACUGACACUCAGAUGCGAAAGCGUGGGGAGCAAACAGGAUUAGAUACCCUGGUAGCUACGAGU